rnacentral:rRNA from 1 species
ACGCUCGACACCUACGGGAGACAGCAGUGGGGAAUAUUGCACAAUGGGGGAAACCCUGAUGCAGCGACGCCGCGUGAAGGAAGAAGUAUCUCGGUAUGUAAACUUCUAUCAGCAGGGAAGAAAAUGACGGUACCUGACUAAGAAGCCCCGGCUAACUACGUGCCAUCAGCCACGGUAAUCUGAGCGGGCUGGCAAGGC